ensembl:lncRNA
CUCUUUGAAAGCUUGCCAGACAGUGCCACCUCUACCUUCGCUUUGUCCCACCCCAGGCUGCAGCCACCCGCAGCAGGGGCAUGGGGAGAAGGGGUCACCCAGAGGCACCUCUGUCCUGCAGCCCCCCAUGGCUGGGAUGUCCCCACUGAGGUCACCUCAAUCUGAGAUCCUCCAAAGGACACCUCUUUCUCCAGCCCCUCCAGCCCUGUUAGUUGUGCGCUGAUGUCUGGACUGAAGAUACGGGCUUCACCCCACCGAGGCAGAAAACACUGAUGGAAAGAGAGAUCAGGAUCAGCUCUACCAAUCCCAGGUUGCUCUGUAAAUCAGAAGAGGAUCGUACUCGGCUCCGUUUUUGCAAAUAGGAAACCUGGAGCGGAGAUGAGGAGACUGAAGAGGAAGCAGCCAGCAAGAUAACCCAGGGGAGCGUGAGGAGCCAUCCAGCUCACACAACUCCUGUGGUCUCACCAGCUCUGCUCUCAACAACGGCUCAGCUGCAUGUUUGACAGCACCUGGCCAACAAUGAAGCCUUGACUCCUCUCCUCAUGAGAAGAAUGCUCUGUGUGCAGAGAAGUGGUGAAAAAGGAUCUUCCUGGUGCGCUCACCCUCUCCAUCUGCCGGGGCUGCGCCAGGCAGAGCCGCUGACAGAUGCAGGCAGUACCAAGCCCUUCUCCUGCACGGACUGGCUGCCCUUGGCUCUCACACCCACCGAAGCCAUUAGCAAUGAUCUCAACCUUCUAUUAUUGCUGAUCCAGGGAGUCUGGAGGCUCUCGGAAGUGCAGCAUCGAUUUGCACCUCUCACGUGUCCCUCUCAGGGCUUCGGUUUCAGGAAAUAUCUUUGCCUCUCCUCUCUCCUUCACAGUCUCCAGGAGUGAUCUUCCAGAGGGACGCUGGAGCUGGGAGCUAAGGGAAAAACAGCUAGGAGUUUAGUGAGAGGAAUGAGGGCUUAGCAAGGCCUCAGCUUUGGCUGCCUGUGUGCUUUAUUCAUCCUCCUCAUUGUGGGGAGGACACCUUCCCCCCAGACAGUCCGUGCCUUGCUAAGCCAGGAAAAGCCACAGUGGGAAUUUCAGGAAUGCAAAGCGAGCCACAAUCUCACAGGGAGAUGUGGUGUGGAUGAGGGGUGGGAAACACCUCACAUAGCAGCUUAACGGCAAGGACUGCUGGUCUCUGCUCAUCCAUGGCAUGGCCAUGUAAAGGCGAUGUGCCCAGGGCAAUGCCUUCUCCUCCUGGCAGAGCUGCCAGCACGGCUUGUGCCGACCAGUAAACAGGAGACAGCGUUGCUGUGCAAACUCAGAUAAGGCUGUCUGUCUGCCAGGGAGUGUUCACUGCUGGUAAUGAUCAACUCAGCAGCAUCCUGGUACCCUUGAAAGAAAAUCCUGCUGAGGGCAGGGGCAGGCAGAGGGCAGAAGAGAUGCUUCUAAUUUUUAUUCUACCUGGGCAAGGAGGGCAGACGUGAUUUUUUCUUUUGUGUCAUUGUAUGCACGUAAGAAGCCAAGGGCCCUAUUGUGUUGCAUCUUUUCUAUAGAAAUGGAUCACAAGACAGCCCCAACAUCAGUGUUAAAACCUUGCACAAGCAGCCAGGCAGCACCAAGAGGACCAACAAGGCAGUCAAAAAAGAGCUACAGCCAAAACCACAUCACCUCCUCGAGUCUCCUUUCCUGGGUAGGAAAGGUUUGCUGCCCAGCCCAGCACCUUAUCAAACGGGCUGCCUCACUCCCCCCGCAUCCCCAGAAAGACUUUCAGGUCCCUGGGUACACUUCACAAAUGAGCCAUCACAAACGUGAGUGUUGGUGCCAGCUGCCAGAAGCAGAGAUCAAGCUCUCACCUACGUCCAUCAGCUCUGCCUGGGAAGCAGGCUUGCCUUUGACAACAGGCAGAUUAAGAAGCAGACAAACAAGUGCUUGGUGCCCUGAACAGGCAGGCUGUGCUGCUUGCAGCCAUUGGGAAGUGGAGAUGUCCAAGUGGUGAUGAAUUCAACCAUGGCACCACUGGACUCCUGCCCACCUGAGGGACGUGUCCUGGACAAAGCUGGUUUACCCUCAUCUCACCCUCUUGCAUUUCACACAGCAGCAUAUUACUGCAUGCAGGGGACAGGAUUGAGCUGACUCCUUGCACUUACUGCCCUUACAGCUAUGAGAGUCAGAGGAGAAAGAGGACAGAUCACCUUCCACUGCUAACGCUGAAAAGUAGACACGAAACAAACCCAGCCUUCAUUGACAGCAUUUACUGCAGAAAUCAACACUUCCUAUACAUAAAAAAAUCAAUGGAAUGUAACUUACCGAAUAAAUCCCCACUGGACCUGGACCAGGACAAAACCGCCUGCAUCAAGAGGGCCUCACAUGGCCAAAUCCCGACGCUGCCAUCCCUCUCCAAAGCCUCACUUUGUCCCCACCAGGACCACCACCCCAGCUACAAACAGGGUUCCUGCUUGGGAAUAGCUGUCUCAGAGACCAUCCUGCCGCGCCCGCAGGAGCGCACAGCUCUUCUGAUGGCCAUCAGAUGGUGCCAUUGAGUCUUCUUCGGAGGCAAAGCCCCGACGACAGCGAGCUUGGAGCAGGGAGCGCUCAUGUUCCUUGCUGCAGCACACAGGAAGGGAACGGAGCUGGAUUGCCCACCUCCAGAUAAAACCAGAUAAAGAGAUUCCUAGCGUAGGAGCUGGCAAGGAAAGGCGCAUUUGUGCUUUCUGUUGUUUCCAAAGAUGUGAGCAAGCUUCUGUGUCACCACCUGUGGGUUUUGCACCGGUCUUGCAAGGUUGGCUAUAUUCCUGCAGUGAUGUCAGCGUAGGAGAAGGCGACAGCAGCGUAGGAGCAUUUCAGCCUCAGUUUCCUCAAAACAAGGUGUGUUCUCCGCUGGAAAGUGUUAGAAAAAAGGAACUUAGAUCAAUCAGGGGCAGAAAUGAAAGAGCAGCCGUGUUAGCAAAAGCUCCUUUUUGAGCACUGCGGGACAGCAGAUGCUUUGAGACAGCCCCAGAGAGCUCUCGCUUGGGAGUGACCUCCCCUCCACAUCCCCCUGCUUCUUCCCCUUUUAUUUUUAGCACAAAGCACGAAGCAAGAAGAGGCUUACACUUCAAGGCACGCCGUUUGCAAUGCUCUCAUCACAUUUGCCUUCUCUCCUUCAGAUAUGGGACCAGAACUUCCCAUGCUUUUGAGCUACUAACUCCCUUUGUGGGUUUUGUUUGCUUGUUUGUUUGUGUUUUGUUUUGUUUUGCAGUGAAUAAAGCCUGCCAUCCAGCUGAGGUCCUCAUUGCAAAGAGGCAUGAAUAAUAACCGGCCACAUUUCAUUCCUGUUCUUCUUUGGAUUUUAAUUGCGUGAGAUGAGAGGGGAGAAAAAUGGUAGCAAGCAGAGGAAGCCCGAGAAGGAGAGAGAGGAGGAAUCAUCACUAUUGCAUUUCGUCAGCGAUAAGAAUGACUGCUGAGCUGGAGUGAGUGGUUUCCAAGUGCAGCGGGAGCCAGCUUCAAUUUCACAGCAUAAUCUUUCCUGUGGCCUUAAAAUAACUUCUCCCUGCCCCCAGGGUAUCACAGGAGCUGCAGAGCCGUGCAUGCCCCUUCCCUGCACGGCUCCGCGUUCAGCGCUUGCCUUAUCUGUGGCUGGGGGCUGUUUGGAGAGCGCUGGCAUCGCAUGUGUCACACGGAGGCACAGAGCCCUGGAACAGAAAGGGGACAUUUUUCAGACCCGUGGUCUCCCCAGGAGGGCAGCAGGCUGGGCAGAGCUGACUGUUUGAGCUCCUCUUUGGUGCCAGCAAAAGAGCAGCUUCCCCGAAGUGCUCCGCAGAGACGGGACCUCUUUAUUGUCGGGGCUAAUUGCUCAUGUGAGAUGUACUUACAGAGGCGGCUGUUUGUGCAGAGAGGGAUAGACAAACAGACUCCUGUUCUGCCAGGCACCCUUUGUAAUCAGAGGGGGCUGGGAGUACUUUAGUGCAGUCAUGGCAGACCUCAUUUGCACCGCCAGCACCGAUCCUGCACUGGCUUGGAUGAUGGUUGGGGGUGCUGAGCUCCAUCCCAUUGCCCAGCUCAUCAGGAGUGACAGUUCAGAGCAAUUCCCCCUCCCUGGAUGUAUUCAGGGCCAGCUUGGAUGGGGCCCUGAGCAGCCUGAUGUGGUGGGAGGCAGCCCUGCCCAGGACAAGGGGCUGGAACUGGGUAGGCUUUAAGGCCCCUUUUCAACCGAAGCCAUUCUGUGAUUCUAUGGUUCCCUGCACUCAGCCCACUGCUUGCUCUUGUACAUCUUUGCCCAGCAACCUCGCCGUGCCCAUGACUUGCAAAUCUAACACUGGGUAAAAGCAUCCAGGACUCUGAAAAACAGACCCGCGGACGUUCUUCAGCUUCACAUCUGCUGCCUAUGCACCGCUUUAUUACUUGCCGGGCAAAGAAGCCAACUGAAUAGCCAACACGCAAGUCAGCUAUACGUGGAAGAUUGUGUGUGAGCUGCUAUCAAAUACUGCAUUUUGUACGAAUCUGGUCACAAAAACUGCAGGAGGGAAAAAAUAAGAAAAUAAACCUUCAGGACAGCUAUUCCAAGGCAGCUCUUAGCCAUACUGAGCCACCGUGGGGACUGCAGUGUCGCUCUUCAGGGCUGGCAGGAUCUAGAAGAGCCCUUGGGUAGACUGGAGCUUCUAAGACAUCCUUACUGUCCUGUAAUUUCCCUUCCUACCACAUCUACAUGUCAAGCAUCAGCUCUUGUAAAACAUCUUGUUUUCAUGUCAUGCUAGCACUUGCAAGCCUGUUGCCCUCAAAAGGACCACCCUUUCGCUAUGAUGUAUAAUAUAACGUCUAGCACAGGUGAGUCCUACAGCCUGCCGGCCUGGAUAUUGUCAAAGAAAUAAUGGCUGCAAAACGUUUUUCAGAGGGUUUAGGAGCAGAAGGGGAAUUACAGGACAACCACUGGAAAAACCACUGCUCCUAAGUUGACGCAUCUCCGCUUUUCAGAGAUGGAUGGAGACGUCCCUACACAGAGGUGCUAAUGGAGAGAAGUCCCAGCAGGGAAGAAUAUGAAAUAGUGGGUCUGCCAGAGGGAUUCCUGGGCUUUUCAGUGGCUGGAGGGAAAAGGGGGAAAAAAAAUAUAAAGACAGUAGCUGUAAUGUUUGUAAUAUCAAUUUGACAACUGAUAAAAACUAUAAAAUAAUAAUCAUAAGUGAGAUAGACACGGAUGCCCCGUGGCAUUGCAAAGUAUGAUAGGAAAGAUUAAUAAAAUAGACGUCAGCUUCUUGAAUUGCUAUUGCAGCAUUAAUUCCCCCCGUGCCAGUUGCUGUAUGCCUUCCUUGAUACGAUCAGGAGGAAAACAUCUAAUCUGACGUGACAACCUCAUUGUAUUAGGAGUCAUCUCUGCUUUAAAACACGUGUCAUAUGACCGAACGCCCCGCUCAGGGUACAAUGCACCCCUCAGUAAAAUCGGGCAGAGCUCAUCCUUAAAUGCCCUGCCAAAAAUAUUCCCAACAAAGGCCAACAAGAAAACAUAAUUCAAAUGAGGGACAUCUGCUCCCUAAUGUUUGCAGAUAAUGACUGGAUCGAGCGGCCGCAUAAAGGAGAAUUAUUUUCUGCAGAUGGUUUGAUCUGAUACUUCAAACUGUGUGCGAGAUCUUUGUCCCAGCCGCCCUGCAAAGUGUGUGGGGUUUUGCCGGCGUGAGACUUCUCCCCCAUCCUCUGGUUUCGUAAAUGCAAGGGUGACUGAAAGUGUGGAAGUUGCAGAAGGCAAAAUAGAGCAUGUAUGCGUCGUGCAGGUUUCAGAGGGGAGCCCACUAAUGGUGGACCCUCAACCAGCCUCCAGAAGCCGGUGCUCCCCUCAGGAAGCCGCUGGUCCCGAGCAAGGAGGAUCUUGCAAGGAGCCCAAGGAUGCAGCUGUCGGCCAUCGUAGGAGCAGGUUUUAAUUACCUCGUGUCCUACGUGCGUCAUCACCCCCACAUCUGUGAAUAGCUCCACCAAAGACCGGGGCAAUCGAGAAGGAGGUCAUACUUCUGCUUUAGUAUACGCCGACAAACGACUGUGGCUCUGGGAACAACACACUGAGACGUUUGGAAUGGAAGGGAUUCCUCCUCUCGAUCAGCGCCACUGACAGCCCA